GAUGAACGCUAGCGGCAGGCCUAACACAUGCAAGUCGAGGGAGAAGCCCUUUCGGGGGCAGAAACCGGCGCACGGGUGCGUAACGCGUAUGCAACCUACCUUUCACAGGGGGAUAGCCCGAAGAAAUUUGGAUAAAUACCCCAUAAUAUUAUUGGAUGGCAUCAUUUGAUAAUUAAAACUGCGGUGGUGAAAGAUGGGCAUGCGUCCUAUUAGCUAGUUGGAGUGGUAACGGCACCCCAAGGCUACGAUAGGUAGGGGUCCUGAGAGGGAGAUCCCCCACACUGGUACUGAGACAGGGACCAGACUCCUACGGGAGGCAGCAGUGAGGAAUAUUGGUCAAUGGUCGGAAGACUGAACCAGCCAUGCCGCGUGCAGGAAGAAUGCCUUAUGGGUUGUAAACUGCUUUUAUAUGGGAAGAAUAAGGCGUACGUGUACGUUGAUGACGGUACCAUAUGAAUAAGCAUCGGCUAACUCCGUG
rnacentral:rRNA from 1 species